rnacentral:rRNA from 1 species
GGGUUGUGAGGUUAAGCGACUAAGCGUACACGGUGGAUGCCCUGGCAGUCAGAGGCGAUGAAGGACGUGCUAAUCUGCGAUAAGCGUCGGUAAGGUGAUAUGAACCGUUAUAACCGGCGAUUUCCGAAUGGGGAAACCCAGUGUGAUUCGUCACACUAUCAUUAACUGAAUCCAUAGGUUAAUGAGGCGAACCGGGGGAACUGAAACAUCUAAGUACCCCGAGGAAAAGAAAUCAACCGAGAUUCCCCCAGUAGCGGCGAGCGAACGGGGAGCAGCCCAGAGCCUGAAUCAGUGUGUGUGUUAGUGGAAGCGUCUGGAAAGGCGCGCGAUACAGGGUGACAGCCCCGUACACAAAAAUGCACAUGCUGUGAGCUCGAUGAGUAGGGCGGGACACGUGGUAUCCUGUCUGAAUAUGGGGGGACCAUCCUCCAAGGCUAAAUACUCCUGACUGACCGAUAGUGAACCAGUACCGUGAGGGAAAGGCGAAAAGAACCCCGGCGAGGGGAGUGAAAAAGAACCUGAAACCGUGUACGUACAAGCAGUGGGAGCACGCUUAGGCGUGUGACUGCGUACCUUUUGUAUAAUGGGUCAGCGACUUAUAUUCUGUAGCAAGGUUAACCGAAUAGGGGAGCCGAAGGGAAACCGAGUCUUAACUGGGCGUUAAGUUGCAGGGUAUAGACCCGAAACCCGGUGAUCUAGCCAUGGGCAGGUUGAAGGUUGGGUAACACUAACUGGAGGACCGAACCGACUAAUGUUGAAAAAUUAGCGGAUGACUUGUGGCUGGGGGUGAAAGGCCAAUCAAACCGGGAGAUAGCUGGUUCUCCCCGAAAGCUAUUUAGGUAGCGCCUCGUGAAUUCAUCUCCGGGGGUAGAGCACUGUUUCGGCAAGGGGGUCAUCCCGACUUACCAACCCGAUGCAAACUGCGAAUACCGGAGAAUGUUAUCACGGGAGACACACGGCGGGUGCUAACGUCCGUCGUGAAGAGGGAAACAACCCAGACCGCCAGCUAAGGUCCCAAAGUCAUGGUUAAGUGGGAAACGAUGUGGGAAGGCCCAGACAGCCAGGAUGUUGGCUUAGAAGCAGCCAUCAUUUAAAGAAAGCGUAAUAGCUCACUGGUCGAGUCGGCCUGCGCGGAAGAUGUAACGGGGCUAAACCAUGCACCGAAGCUGCGGCAGCGACACUAUGUGUUGUUGGGUAGGGGAGCGUUCUGUAAGCCUGCGAAGGUGUGCUGUGAGGCAUGCUGGAGGUAUCAGAAGUGCGAAUGCUGACAUAAGUAACGAUAAAGCGGGUGAAAAGCCCGCUCGCCGGAAGACCAAGGGUUCCUGUCCAACGUUAAUCGGGGCAGGGUGAGUCGACCCCUAAGGCGAGGCCGAAAGGCGUAGUCGAUGGGAAACAGGUUAAUAUUCCUGUACUUGGUGUUACUGCGAAGGGGGGACGGAGAAGGCUAUGUUGGCCGGGCGACGGUUGUCCCGGUUUAAGCGUGUAGGCUGGUUUUCCAGGCAAAUCCGGAAAAUCAAGGCUGAGGCGUGAUGACGAGGCACUACGGUGCUGAAGCAACAAAUGCCCUGCUUCCAGGAAAAGCCUCUAAGCAUCAGGUAACAUCAAAUCGUACCCCAAACCGACACAGGUGGUCAGGUAGAGAAUACCAAGGCGCUUGAGAGAACUCGGGUGAAGGAACUAGGCAAAAUGGUGCCGUAACUUCGGGAGAAGGCACGCUGAUAUGUAGGUGAAGUCCCUCGCGGAUGGAGCUGAAAUCAGUCGAAGAUACCAGCUGGCUGCAACUGUUUAUUAAAAACACAGCACUGUGCAAACACGAAAGUGGACGUAUACGGUGUGACGCCUGCCCGGUGCCGGAAGGUUAAUUGAUGGGGUCAGCGCAAGCGAAGCUCUUGAUCGAAGCCCCGGUAAACGGCGGCCGUAACUAUAACGGUCCUAAGGUAGCGAAAUUCCUUGUCGGGUAAGUUCCGACCUGCACGAAUGGCGUAAUGAUGGCCAGGCUGUCUCCACCCGAGACUCAGUGAAAUUGAACUCGCUGUGAAGAUGCAGUGUACCCGCGGCAAGACGGAAAGACCCCGUGAACCUUUACUAUAGCUUGACACUGAACAUUGAGCCUUGAUGUGUAGGAUAGGUGGGAGGCUUUGAAGUGUGGACGCCAGUCUGCAUGGAGCCGACCUUGAAAUACCACCCUUUAAUGUUUGAUGUUCUAACGUGGACCCGUAAUCCGGGUUGCGGACAGUGUCUGGUGGGUAGUUUGACUGGGGCGGUCUCCUCCUAAAGAGUAACGGAGGAGCACGAAGGUUGGCUAAUCCUGGUCGGACAUCAGGAGGUUAGUGCAAUGGCAUAAGCCAGCUUGACUGCGAGCGUGACGGCGCGAGCAGGUGCGAAAGCAGGUCAUAGUGAUCCGGUGGUUCUGAAUGGAAGGGCCAUCGCUCAACGGAUAAAAGGUACUCCGGGGAUAACAGGCUGAUACCGCCCAAGAGUUCAUAUCGACGGCGGUGUUUGGCACCUCGAUGUCGGCUCAUCACAUCCUGGGGCUGAAGUAGGUCCCAAGGGUAUGGCUGUUCGCCAUUUAAAGUGGUACGCGAGCUGGGUUUAGAACGUCGUGAGACAGUUCGGUCCCUAUCUGCCGUGGGCGCUGGAGAACUGAGGGGGGCUGCUCCUAGUACGAGAGGACCGGAGUGGACGCAUCACUGGUGUUCGGGUUGUCAUGCCAAUGGCACUGCCCGGUAGCUAAAUGCGGAAGAGAUAAGUGCUGAAAGCAUCUAAGCACGAAACUUGCCCCGAGAUGAGUUCUCCCUGACUCCUUGAGAGUCCUGAAGGAACGUUGAAGACGACGACGUUGAUAGGCCGGGUGUGUAAGCGCAGCGAUGCGUUGAGCUAACCGGUACUAAUGAACCGUGAGGCUUAACCUUACAACGCCGAAGCUGUU